AGUUUGGUGACGGUGUCUGGUCA
rnacentral:siRNA from 1 species